UCACAUGGUUCAGUCAAGCUCGAUCAAGAUAAUUGGACACCCAUUUUAAGAUCCAGAUGAUACGUUGGUUCAAGCAUACAUUUUAUGCCCUACUGUGAAUAAACCACACCAAUCUAACCAUUCUAACCUACCUCCAAUCAAUAGUAUAUAUAGAGAAUCAAGGUCCUUAGUAUAAAAAUAGGUCCAAUCAAUAAUGUGAUACUUUUAUUCAAUAGGCACCAUCAUGGAUUCAUUAGGGUUCUAAGGCAGCAAUUUUAUUAGGCCAUCUUAAUCAUCCCAUCCAUUGCUUGAAAAAAAAAUGGAAAUGAAAAAGGCCAUCUUAUGAAUUUAUUU